GACAUACUCCCUCCGUCCGACAAAACUUGUCCCUCAAAUUGAUGUAUCUAGCACUAACUUGAUGCUAGAUACAUCCAUUUGAGGGACAACCUUUUUCGGACGGAGGGAGUACAAA
rfam:Triticum aestivum genome assembly, contig: Triticum_aestivum_CS42_TGACv1_scaffold_487754_6AS